AAGCGGUCGGUAGAGUCAGUUUGUUGCGAAGUAUUUUCAUAUUUUUCUGAGCAAACUGGCUCUUGUUAAAUUAAAUAAUUCAUUCAAAUUGUAAUUCGCGAAAUUAGAAUCAGUGAGUUCGUCGAUUGUUACUUAAACACGUUGACAGUCUUUUAUUUUUCUUUUUUUGUAUUCUUUCUUGUGCAAUAUUCGUUUUCGGUAUUAGAGUCAGUGCUCAAGAGGAUAAGGCCUCUCCAGGAGAUCAAAAUCAUCUUCUACAAUCUCCACUUCCCCUAAUCUUCCAAGAAUCAUAUGACGUUUCAAAAGCUAAAAAUAAAUUUUUCACGGCGUUCACCAUGGGAUUUUCAGUGGUAUCUACUUGAUGAGAGUCUUCACGAUAACUUUCCCUGCUUCAGUACAGCAUCGAUGACAAUGUUUUUCACAUCUAUCGUGUGAGUCGCAUGCAUUCAUGUUCCUCCGGUCACUCAACCAUGUCGUAGGAUGAAAGAUCCGAAUCGGCACGGGUGACUGGUUGUAUACGUAGAAUUUUUGAUGAGCAUAGUGACCGCGGGUAUUUUUUGUACCCGUGAGUAGUAACAAUU